rnacentral:rRNA from 1 species
UACGUAGGGGGCAAGCGUUGUCCGGAAUCAUUGGGCGUAAAGAGCGCGUAGGCGGCCCUGUAAGUCCGCUGUGAAAGUCAAGGGCUCAACCCUUGGAUGCCGGUGGAUACUGCAGGGCUAGAGUCCGGAAGAGGCGAGUGGAAUUCCUGGUGUAGCGGUAAUAUGCGUAGAUAUCGGGAGGAACACCUGUGGCGAAAGCGGCGCACUGGACCACAUCUGACGCUGAGGCGCGAAAGCUAGGGGAGCAAACAGG